rnacentral:rRNA from 1 species
UACGUAGGGUGCGAGCGUUAAUCGGAAUUACUGGGCGUAAAGCGUGCGCAGGCGGUUUUGUAAGCCAGAUGUGAAAUCCCCGGGCUUAACCUGGGAAUGGCAUUUGGGACUGCAAGGCUUGAGUGCGGCAGAGGAGACUGGAAUUCCUGGUGUAGCAGUGAAAUGCGUAGAUAUCAGGAGGAACACCGAUGGCGAAGGCAGGUCUCUGGGACGGUACUGACGCUGAGGCGCGAAAGCCUGGGGAGCGAACAGG